UACGAAGGGGGCUAGCGUUGCUCGGAAUUACUGGGCGUAAAGGGCGCGUAGGCGGAUAUCUAAGUUGGGGGUGAAAUCCCGGGGGCUCAACCUCGGAAUUGCCUUCAAAACUGGAUAUCUUGAGUUCGGAAGAGGUUGGUGGGAACUGCGAGUGUAGAGGUGAAAUUCGUAGAUAUUCGCAAGAACACCAGUGGCGAAGGCGGCCAACUGGUCCGGU
rnacentral:rRNA from 1 species